AAUGGGUAAAAGUAGCAAAUUAUAGAGAUUAUUUGGUCUCCAGUGUCUGUUGAGUUAACAUCGUUGGAUUUGGCCAUACUGAUUCUGGUGGGCCUUAAUGGCAAAGAAAAAGAAUUCGUAUUUCCACUUCCUUCCUUAAUCACUCUCCCCAUCUCUUCAAUUCUUUCUCCUUCAAUUUUUCCUCUUUAUCUCCCCCAAUCAUUUUCUCCUAUUUUCCUCUCUCUUUUUUAGUCCCCCUUUCCUCUCCAAAGAAAAUUGGAACUGCUAAAGCUAAUAAUAGCACUAGCAAUCUAGUUCUACUUUAUUCCUUUCCUUGGAAUUCUGAAGAUGGAAUUGUGAUAGAAAAAUGCGAUCUGAAGAUAAUAGAGUAAAUUAAUGAGUAGAAAUAAAAUUGACAGUAAAACAGUACAAAAUCCGUGCUUGCGAAAGCAAUAUUUCAAAUUUCAAUAUGGUAUUAUGAUUUGGAAUAUGAAUUCUAAAUAUUUUUGUCAUCAAAUUAACUCACUAUUUGUCCAUUUAUAUAUGUGAUAUGUGCUAAAGAAGAAUAUAUUUCACAUGGCCCAACCAAAUGCCUACAUAAUCAUUCAAUAUUUCAUUGAAAUAUUUCAUCUUUCAAUGUAUU
rnacentral:misc_RNA from 1 species